GCGUCUUGGUGCUUCCAUGUUGGAAGAAAAGGGAAUCCGGUGAAAUUCCGGGGCUGUCCCCGCAGCUGUAAAGUCAUUUCCCGUCCGAAUGGGCGGAUCUUUUCGUAGAACCACUGGUGAAACCGGGAAGGGGAAAAGAUGACAAGCCAGAAAACCUGCCAAGUGAUGC
rnacentral:ncRNA from 1 species